CUGCUGCUUCGCUGACGAGUGGCGGACGGGUGAGUAAUGUCUGGGAAACUGCCUGAUGGAGGGGGAUAACUACUGGAAACGGUAGCUAAUACCGCAUAACGUCGCAAGACCAAAGAGGGGGACCUUCGGGCCUCUUGCCAUCGGAUGUGCCCAGAUGGGAUUAGCUAGUAGGUGGGGUAACGGCUCACCUAGGCGACGAUCCCUAGCUGGUCUGAGAGGAUGACCAGCCACACUGGAACUGAGACACGGUCCAGACUCCUACGGGAGGCAGCAGUGGGGAAUAUUGCACAAUGGGCGCAAGCCUGAUGCAGCCAUGCCGCGUGUAUGAAGAAGGCCUUCGGGUUGUAAAGUACUUUCAGCGGGGAGGAAGGGAGUAAAGUUAAUACCUUUGCUCAUUGACGUUACCCGCAGAAGAAGCACCGGCUAACUCCGUGCCAGCAGCCGCGGUAAUACGGAGGGUGCAAGCGUUAAUCGGAAUUACUGGGCGUAAAGCGCACGCAGGCGGUUUGUUAAGUCAGAUGUGAAAUCCCCGGGCUCAACCUGGGAACUGCA
rnacentral:rRNA from 1 species